GAUAUGGCCAUAGGUCAGUGGCAGAGUGCCUCCCUUGCAGGCAGACGGUCCCAGGUUCAAAUCCUAGUGGCAUCU